rnacentral:lncRNA from 1 species
AUAUGAGAUAUGGCACGUUAAAAAAUUGAGUUUAGGUUAUCUGAAGACUUGAAGAUGUCCAGCUUGUGUCAAAAGAUUGAUUGCUAAUAAAUUAGAGGAUACAAUUGUAAGAGCUCAUGUUAUUGGGUAUCUAAAAGAAUCAACGAUGCUUUUACUUUGCAUAAGAUCACACUAUGAUUGUGAGUUGGCAUAUCAUAUUCUUAGAAAAAUAGUUUAUCCAAAAUGAUGGUAGUGGAAGGUCAGUUGAGCUUGAAGAGAAGGUCUCUGAUGAGCAAAGAGCUAUGGAUCCUCAGAAAUCUAUUAUUCAUAAACCAGUGGUUGAUGUUCCUCCACCACCUCAUAGAUUUAGCAGGGUCUUUUAUCCUCCUGAAAGAUACAUGUGUAUGUUUGCGA